AAAUAUGUUUUCGUUAUAAAUAAGUUGGGGUUUUGAGCUUUGGGAUGAGUUUUAUGUGAUUUGUGUAACGAUAAAUUCAUGACCAUUAAGCUAUGGAUAAACUUAACGUCAAUAAAACCAGAGUCGCCACCACACUUUUAUUGUUUCUAAAGGAAAAGGGAAAAGUACGAACAAAACUCCAAGAUAAGAAGUUUUCAAAUCAAACCUAAUAAAAUGCCAGAGAUUACAGGUAAGGGGGUUGAUUACACAGAGGGAAGGUGUUAGCAC
rnacentral:lncRNA from 1 species